UACAGAGGGUGCGAGCGUUUAAUCGGAAUUACUGGGCGUAAAGCGUGCGUUAGACGGUUAUUUAAGUCGGUGUGAAAGCCCCGGGCUCAACCUGGGAAUUGCAUUCGAGACUGAAUAGCUAGGGUGACGGUAGAGGGAAGUGGAAUUCCGGUGUAGCGGUGAAAUGCGUAGAUAUCAGGAGGAACACCUAUAGCGAAGGCAGCUUGCUGGGACGUUACUGACGCUAAGGCGCGAAAGCGUGGGAGCGAACAGG
rnacentral:rRNA from 1 species